CCUACGGGUGGCAGCAGUGAGGAAUAUUGGUCAAUGGACGAGAGUCUGAACCAGCCAAGUAGCGUGAAGGAUGACUGCCCUAUGGGUUGUAAACUUCUUUUAUAUGGGAAUAAAAUGUUCCACGUGUGGGAUUUUGUAUGUACCAUAUCAAUAAGGAUCGGCUAUCUCCGCUCCACCAGACGCGGUAAUACGGAGGAUGCGAUCGUUAUCCGGGUUUAUUGGGUUUAAGGGGUGCGCAGGCGGAGGUGCAAGUCAUCGGUCAAAUUGCGGGGCGCAACCCCGUACUGCAGUUGAAACUGCAUCCCUUGAGUGCGCGAGAAGUAUGCGGAAUGCGUGGUGUAGCGGUGAAAUGCAUAGAUAUCACGCAGAACUCCGAUUGCGAAGGCAGCAUACCGGCGCGCAACUGACGCUCAUGCACGAAAGCGUGGGUAUCGAACAGGAUUAGAUACCCCAGUAGUC
rnacentral:rRNA from 1 species